rnacentral:tRNA from 1 species
GGGCUUUUAGCUCAGUUGGUUAGAGCAUCCGACUCAUAAUCGGCAGGUCCUAGGUUCAAGUCCUAGAUGGCCCA